AACUCAUAACCCUUUGUGAACCAUCAUACCCGUUGCUUCGGCGGCGCCGCCCCGCGCGGCGCCCGCCGGUCUUCUGGAAUCUCUGUUUUCGAACCCGACGAUACUUCUGAGUGUUCUUAGCGAACUGUCAAAACUUUCAACAACGGAUCUCUUGGCUCCAGCAUCGAUGAAGAACGCAGCGAAACGCGAUAUGUAAUGUGAAUUGCAGAAUUCAGUGAAUCAUCGAAUCUUUGAACGCACAUGGCGCCUUCCAGUAUCCUGGGAGGCAUGCCUGUCCGAGCGUCGUUUCAACCCUCGAGCCCCCGUGGCCCGGCGUUGGGGAUCUGCCACGGCAGGCCCCGAAAUCCAGUGGCGGACCCGUCGGGCCCUCUCCUUGCGUAGUAGCAUCAGCCUCGCAUCGGGAGCCCGCGUGGCAUCCACGCCCCUAAACCCCCCGCAAGCCCGCCCCGGCGGCACCAAGGUUGACCUCGGAUCAGGUAGGAAUACCCGCU
rnacentral:rRNA from 1 species